UCCUACGGGAGGCAGCAGUAGGGAAUCUUCCGCAAUGGACGAAAGUCUGACGGAGCAAUGCCGCGUGAGUGAAGAAGGUUUUCGGAUCGUAAAACUCUGUUGUUAGAGAAGAACAAGGAUGAGAGUAACUGCUCAUCCCCUGACGGUAUCUAACCAGAAAGCCACGGCUAACUACGUGCCAGCAGCCGCGGUAAU
rnacentral:rRNA from 1 species